rnacentral:tRNA from 1 species
GGGUGUAUAGCUCAGUGGUAGAGCAUUCGCCUGCAGAUCGGAAGGUCCCCGGUUCGAACCCGGGUGUCCCCU